UCAUGUGCACUAGAAAAGAAAUUAUAGUUUGCAGCUGUUGUGUGGAGUGUUCUGUAUAAGUCUAUGAAGUGAAGUUGUUUAAUUGUAGGAAUUAGAUCUUCCGUGUCUCUAUUGAGCUUCUUACUGCAUUUCCUAUCCUUCACCGAGAGUGUUGUGUUGAAGUCUCCUGCUAUAAUUGUGGAGGUGUCUAUCUCACUUUUUAAUUCUGUUAACAUUUGUUUUAUGAAUGUUGCGGCCCUAUCAUCAUUGGGUGCAUAAAUAUUUAAUACAGUUAUAUGUACCUGGUAAAUUGUCCCUUUAAUCUUUAUGUAGUGUCCUUCUUUAUCCUUUGUGGUGGAUUUAAAUUGAAACUCUAUUUUGUUGGAAAUUAAUAUUGCCUCUCCUGCUCUUUUUUGAUUGUUGUUUGCUUGAUAUAUUUUUAUCCAUCCUUUCAGUUUUGGUUUAUUUGUGUCUCUUAACUCUAAAGCGUGUCUCUUUUAGGAAGCAUACAGACUGAUCGUGUUUUUUUAUCCAGUCUGCAACUUUCUGUCUCUUUAUUGGUGAAUUUAGUCCAUUUACAUUAAGUGUAAUUAUAGACAAGUAUGAGUUUAGUGCUGUCAUUUUGAUGCCUGUUUUUGACAAUUUCAUUUUCCAUUUACUUUUUUGUGCUGAGUUUUUCUUUGUAGAAUGUGUGUUCCUCCUUUUUAUAGUAGUUGAAUUUAUUUUGGUGAGUCGUUAUGUUUAUCUUGGUUUUUAUUUUGAAGUAUGGAAUUGUUAGACCUUGUUGUGGUUAUCUUAAUAUUUACCCUGGUUUGAGUAAGUAAAAACCUAAGUUGUUUCGCCCUGUAUCGCCUUGGUUUCCUCUCCAUAUGUAAUUUCUAAGCCUCCUGUAUUUAGUCCCUCUUUUUUCACUAUCGUAAUCUUUUACAUAAUCACAUCAAUGAUUCCCUGUUUUGAGCAAUUUUUUAAUUAAUCUUAUUUUGUUUUUGUGAUUUCCCUAUCUGGGUUGAUAUCAGGAUGUUUUGUUCUGUGACCUUGUGUUGUGUUGGUAUCUGAUAUUAUUGAUUUUCUGACCAAAGAAUUUCCUUUAGUAAUUCUUGCAGUUUUGGUUUGGUUUUUGCAAAUUCUCUAAGCUUGUGUUUAUCUGUAAAUAUCUUAAUUUCACCUUCAUGUUUUAGAAUUUUGCUGGAUAUAUGAUUGUUCGCUGACAGUUUUUCCUCUUUCAGUGCUCUAUAUAUGUUAUCCCAUUGUCUUCUUGCCUGCAUGAUUUCUGCCGAGUAGUGCAAACUUAUUGAUUCUCCUUUGUAGGUAACUUUUCGUUUAUCCUUGGGUGCUUUUGAAAUUUCUCUUUAUCUUAGGUUUUGGCAGGUUUGAUGAUAUGUCUUGGUGAUUUUCUUUUGGGAUCUAUUUUGUAUGAGGUUCGAUGAGCAUCUUGGGUAGAUAUCUUUUCAUCUUUUACAAUGCCAGGGAAUUUUUCUGCCAUCAGAUCUUCCACUGUUCUCUCUGUAUUUUCUGUUAUCCCUCCCUGUUCUGGAACUCGAAUCACACGCAAAUUAUUCUUGAUAGAGUCCCCCAUGAUUCUUAGGGUUUCUUCAUAGUUUUAAAUUCUAUUUGAUUUUUCUUCAACUAUAUUUGUGUCAAUUGCCUUAUCCUCCAGCUCCCCCACUCUGCAUUCCAGUUCCUUGAUUCUGCUCCUGUGACUUCCUAUUGAGUUGUCUGAAUCUGUGACUUUAUUGUUAAUCUUUUGGAUUUCUGAAUGCUGUCUCUCUAUGGAUUCUUACAGCUUAUUAAUUUUUUCACUAUGUUGUCGAAUAAUCUUUUGGAUAUCUUCAACUGCUUUAUCCGUGUAUUCCUUGGUGUUUUCUGUAGAUUGCCUUAUUUCAUUUGUGAGGUCAUUCCUGAUGUCUUGAAGCAUUCUGUAUAUAAUUUUUUUAUAUUCUACAUUUGGCAAUUCUAGGAAUGUAUCUACAUCUGGGAAUGAUUUUGAUUCUUUGAUUUGGGGGUUUGUAGAAGGAAUCAUGGUCUGCUUCUUCAUGUGAUUUGAUGUCGACUGCUGUCUCUGAGCCAUUUAUAAGAUAUUGUAAUAUUUUAUAUUUGCUCACUGAGUCUUAUCUUCUUAUUUUGUUUUGUUACAAUACACCCAGAUGGGCUACUAGAUUGUGGUAUCGUGAUUGAUGUAGCUUUUGAAUCACUUACGUCCUGUUACCAGCUUGCCUGAGCUGUUACCAGGUAUAUAAGUGUAUGAGUCCAUUCACUAUUCUUGAAUACAAUCAGCUCAGGUGUCCUGAUAGCUGGUCACCUAGUGUGUGGUGUAGGCUCUCACCUAUUAUCUUAGAGGAGUAGUGGUGAUGGUUGUAUGCACCAGUUUCUAUUAGUGGCAGGGGGUCACAUUUCGAGGAGGGCAGGAUGCUGAGAGCCUUCCUUCAAGUGUCAGUGAGGUAGGUGUGGCUCUAUUCUCUAGAGCACUCUGGUGGGUGGGCUUUGCAGCUGUAUCUUAGGCACCCAAUGCUUGGGUAGGCGUCACUAUUCUCAGACCCCUCUAGCAGGUGGCUAGGUGAUGUGGGUGGAGUCUCAGCCCUCAGUUCGCUGGUGUGGAUCAGCGAGGGCUCUGUUUAAUAGGUAGAGAGGUAUCUGACCUCCAAAACUUGCCUUUCCACUGCUGAGCUAAAACAAUUAUGGUCAGAUCUCUAUCAGAAUUGCCUUUACAUUGUAAUAGCCACCUAGUUACCUGUAGGGUGAAAGCCAAAGACUAUGGGUCUGUUAAUGCCUGGAUGGAGCUGAUUCUGUACUGUUAUUUCAGUUUAGGGAAGUCAGGGAAGGAUUUUUUCUUUGAUUGUUAAAUGCUGCUUUUCUCAGGCCAGGAGAAUGGGUUAGAAAAGAAAGAAGAAAAAAAAUUCAGCAGUGCACUUCACUCUCUGGCACAGAGGAUUCCAAUGUUAAUGAAGCUGGCUGGGGCAAUGAGGGGUGGAAUCAGAUAUAUAGAAGAGAGUAGCCUGGCAAAAUAUACAAAGUUACUUAUGUUGUUUGGUGAGAACUGUUUUUUCUGAGAUUCCAGAGCAUUGUGUCGCUCGUGUGUGCUGGCUGGAUCCCUGCUGAGACUGUCCCAGAGGGUUAGGGCUGCAUCCAUGCUCACACUGUCUCAGGAAGCCACAAUCGGCUCCCCCACACUUAGUCCAAAGCCCAGCACCAAGGUUUCCUUUCUGGGACGCUGCACUCCAGGCUCCAAAACCAGUCGCUGCUUCCCUAUAGUUUUUCGUUUCCCUGUCAGCCGCGUCUGUGUGGAGCCUGCGUGUGCUGCCUGGGUCCCCUCUGAGGUUGGUCCUGAGGGUUAGGCCUAUAUCUGUUCUUCCCUGUCUCAGUAAACCACAAUCAGCCCCACCACUCUGACACCAGGAAACCGCGAGGGCUCAAGGCUACGGCGUGGGACACUGGCUCUGGAAGCGGUCCCUGCUGCAGCGUGGCUUUCGCUCCCCCGUCACUCAGGUCAACUCCUUAGUUCUGUGUUUGAUGGUCAGGGUUUGUAGAUUGUCCUUUAUGUAAUCAGUUCACUUGUUUUUUCGAGUCUUUGUUUCAAGAAGUAUAAGCGGAAUCUUCUACCUAGUCAGCCAUCUUGGUCCUGCCCCCGUGUCUGCCUCUUUAUGUGAUUUGAUAUUGACUGUUGUCUCUGAGCAAUCUAUAAGUUAUUGUAUUAGUUUAUUUUAUGCUUGCUUUUUGUAUCCUAGCUUCUUGCUUUGUUUAGUUUUGGUAUUCCCAAAUAAGCUGCUUGAGUGUGCUAGGUUGAUUAUUUUCACCUUUGAAGCUCUAAUGUACUAUCACCAGAUGGCUAGCACUGUUACCAGGUAUAUGAGCCUAGGAGUUCAUUUACUUUUCUUGUAUGCAUUCAACUCAGGUGCCCAGGUAGUUGGUCAUAAAGUGUGUGGUACAGGCUCUGUCCUACCGUCUUAGAGGGGCAGGGGUUAUUGGUGUAGGCAGAAGUAUCUGGCUGCAGUAGGGGGUCAGGCUCUGAUCAAGGCAGGGGUCUGACAGCUGUGCUCUGAGUGUCUGUGAGGAAAGUGCAUCCCUGUUCUGUAGAGCACACGGGUGGGUUCUGCAGAAGGGCGAUGGGUACCCAAUGCUUUUGGUUGUAAGUUCUGGGAGGUACUACUUACCCUUGGAGCCCUGUCACAGGAGGCUAGGUAUUGUGGGUGGAGCCACCAGUCCUUAGGCCCCUGAUGUGGGUAGGUGAAGACGCCGUUUAAUAGGCAAAGCAGUGUCAAACAUCAAACACCCAUCUUUCCACCGUUCAGCUGAAACAGUUGCAGUCUGGCGACAAGGGCCUAUUCUCCUGAAAUGGGCCCACACAGGUCCAUGCUGGGGUGAAAGGUAUUCAAAGCCCAUGGACUGUUUGUGCCUGAACAAGAGCUGCUUCUGUCCUGAGCUCCCCAGCUUAAUUGAGCUGGCAGAUUAUCUUUCCCCCAGUUGUGAACUUAUACCUUCUUCAAGGAUGGAAAAAUGGCUCAGAGUGGUACCAGGGCCUAUCUCAGGCCCAGGGAAGUUGACAGCCACUGAAGCCGGCUUGGGGGCUGGGGGCGUGGUAAAAUAAACACAAGUAAUUAGCUUUUGCUGAGAGUGCCGUUCUUCUCUUGUUCUGGAGGUGUGAGUAGUCUGUGCAACUUGCUGUCCUUCCCUGAGCUAAACGCCUCUGGAACACUACUGCCAGCCCCGCUGCAGUCGCUCCAGGGAACGGUGCCUGAGGGUUCCUGGCUGUUCAGGUCCAGUAACUCCUCUCCACUUCUGAAUAGUCUCUCCCUCCCCCUGCCGCUGAGUCCAUUUUCUAACUUUGCCUUUGAUGCUCAGGGCUCCUAGCUUGUCAUAAAUAUACUUGCUUCACUUGUUUUUUCUGGUCUUUUUUGUAAGAGGGAUGACUGGCGGCGUCUCAAUACUCAAAACUUCAUCAUUUCUUCCUUUCACUUUAGCUACUCGACAUUCAAGAGCAACGUUCAGAGUCUCUUCCGACAUCCGUUUUGGUCUUUUCUUUCUUUCCUGUCUUUUAAAGGAUCUCUUGCUUUCCUCAUGUGUGAUGUCCUUGAUGUCAUUCCACAACUCGUCUGGUCUUCAGUCGUUAGUGUUCAACACGUAAAAUGUGUUCUUGAGGUGGUCUCUAAAUACAGGUGAGAUAUACUCAAGGUCAUAUUUUGGCCCCUUUUGACUUAUUCUAAUUUUCUUCCGUUUCAGCUUGAACUCCCAUAUGAGCAAUUGACAGUCUGUUUCACAAUCGAUCCCUGGCCUUGUUCUGACUGAUGAUAUGAGUUUUCCCAUCUUCUCUUUCCACAGAUGUAGUCAGUUUGAUUCCUGUGUAUUCCAUCUGGUAAAGUCCACGUGUAUAGCUGCCGUUUAUGUUGGUGAAAAAAAAUAUUUGCAGUGGAUGAGUCACUGGUCUUGCAAAAUUCUUUCAUGAGAUUUCUGGCGUCAUUUAUUUCAGCGAUGCUGUAUUUUCCAACUACUUUUCCUUCUUUGUUUCCAACUUUAACAUUCUAAUGACCAGUAAUUAUCAAUGCAUCUUGAUUGCAUCUUUGAUCAAUUUCAGGCUGCAGAAGUUGUUUAAAAUCUUCAAUUUCUUUAUCUUUGGCAUUAGUGGUUGGUGCAUACAUUUGAAUAGUCAUAUAAACUAGUCUUCCUUGUAAGUGUAUGGAUUUUAGCCUAUCAGUGACAACAUUGUACUUCAGGCUAGAUCUUGAAAUGUUCUCUUUGAUGAUAUGUAACGUCAUUCUUUUGACUCUGGUGGAAUAUCCAUGUUUGUAAGACUGCUCACAGACUGUUUUACCAGAGAGUUUUCUGGUACUGCAACAUCUACCACUAAUCUCUGUGAUCCCUUUGAAUUGGCAAAAUAAGAAUAGUGCUAUAGAUUUCUUCCAAAUACAGAAAACAUAAGUAUGAAAAUGUUCUUGCUGUUGAUUAUAUUCUUUACCAAUCUGUUUGUAUGGGAUUUUUGGUACUUCACUUGAAAAAUGAGUCCAAGGUACUGUGAUGUGAUUGUUUACUUUGUGUGGCCUUUCUAGCCAUGGUCUUAUAACAUCCACCCUGGUGCUUGGGCAGGACUGUGUGAUAGGGUAAUUGUGGCUCACCAAGAGGAUUGUUUAUUUUGCCUUCAAAGAGAACCAGUUCCAGAGCAAAGAGGAGGAUUCAACUCCCAUCAAGGAAGAACAGCCAAGAGCCGAGCGUAUAUUAUGGACCUGAGAUCCCUGCACUGAGAAGCUCCUAGAAGCAGGAGACUGAGAUAGAGAGAGGAAGCUGUAACCCUGAAGAUGCUUAAAUACAGACCAGAAGAGGAGUUUGGGGCUUGACACCUGACAUCUUAACACCAGUUCCUGUUUCUUGAGGAAGGAAGAGGUAAAAUAAAUCAGCGUUUGCUGUUUCCUUCUCCAUCCCCGGAAGUCCUGAUGAAGACCCUCUCAGGAGGGAAGAGGUAAAAAAGAAGGCAGUGUCUACUACGUCCUUUGCCAUGUGUGUCAGGAAAUCCUCACAAAGAGCCUCUCAGGUAAGGAGUGAUGGGAAAUGCCUUGGUUUACUCUUAAACUUUGCCCUUGAGGCAUUUUCUUUAUGGGGGCAUGUAAAAUGUUGUCCAUUCAAGGAAACACUGUAAUUCUUAUGUAGACUUUGUUUGUUGACAAGGAUUUAUUGCCAUAGCAAGGGUUCUGGAAAUGGGUUUAAUAUGCUGUGGGAUUGCUUUUGGAAGUUUGGAAAAGGCAACGGCCCACAUUCUAUGAAAUCGAAAUACCAGACCUACUGUGUCAGGUGUUGGAAGAGGGAAUAAAAGCCUCCAAUAUGUGGGCAUGUCUGAGUUAGUCUUCUAUAAGACCAUUUCUUGGAGGUCCUGAAGGACACCCAUUUCAUUAAAAGAAUAAGGAAUGUAGAGCUGAGGGGAGCACCAGCAACAUGGAGCUUACCAAUAUGUACCUUUGCAGGGGGUCCCUGGACGCCGCAAACAGUUAAGUGUUCUAUACUAGCUGAAAGUUUGGUGGUUUGAACCUACUCAAAAGCACCUCAGAAGACAGUCCUGACGAUCUGCUUUUAAAGGAUCACAGCCUUGAAAACCCUAUUGAACACUUCUACUAUGCCCACAUGGGGUGGUCAUGAGUCAGAAAUGACUUGAUGACAGCUAACAAGAACAAUUCUCUAUAGGCUCAGGUUUUAGUGGAGGCUGGGCUGCCAAGUAGCAAUGUAAAUCAUGGUAUCCCAGCUGAACAGAGGCCAGGUGGAAGUACUUAACUGUCAGAAACAAGUUGUGUGUAGAUUACCAUAAAGGUCAGUAGCUCAGAGUAUUAGUUAUCUAUUGGUGCAUAACAAAAUAUCCCCAAACUUAUCAGGUGUGAGAUAAAUGGAAAAAUAUUAAACCCAUUCUGAUAAAUUUGGAACUAGACAAAAAUUUUGGUAUUACUCAACAUAGUUUUUAGGUGAAGGAAUGAACUAGAAAAUUUAAAUAACUAGUACAAGUAUUAAAAGAUAUUUAAAAUAAUGAUGAUAUAAUUACAUACCUGCAUAAAAGACAAAUGCAUCAAAAUCAAUGGUUUCUCUCCAGUAUAGAAUAAGGGUCUAAAAUUGGCAAGGGUGGGAAGGGCAGACCGUUCUCUUUCCCCUACUACUUGACUGUACCACACUGUGUCCAAAACUGUAAAAUAUUUAGCAAAACAUUGUUUUAACCAGAGCAGCAAAGGACCUCUAUGAGGGAAGACAAUGUAUUAAAGUACAUAAAAUGAAACCUGAAUAUAUGCAAAAAUAUGCCAUAUUUUCAAAUGGAACGUCUUGUCAAUUAAAUGGAGGUCCCUAAAACUAAUAUAUAAGUGGAAUGCAUUUCUAGCCAGAAUAUUAAGAUAGUUGUUUUGAACUGUAUACAGUGAUCAUAUUCUACAAAUAGUACAGUAGAUAACAAAGAAUAGAUAACAAGGAAUAUUCCUGUUGUUACGAGACUUGGAGGCGAUUUUGGACUCAAAGCCAUCCCAUCUGACUGCCCCAUAGGGUUUUCUAGGUCGUAAUCAUUAUGGGAGCAGAACACCAGGUCUUUCUCCCUUGGAGCCACCUGGUGGGUCCGACCUGCCAAACUUUCUUUGGAUUAGCAGUUGAGCACUUAAUCGCUGCAAAACCAGGGCGGUUUUACCAAAGUAAAACAUGAAAAAGCAGGAUAGUAACAGGUGUCUAUCUCUUCGGGUAACAGAACAAAUUGAUAUUACAUAGCAUAGAAGGUGACAAGUAGACCAAUGAAACAGAAAAUCUGUUAAGAAGUCACAAUAACUUACAAAGGUAGCAUUUCAAGAAAAUUAUAUUUAUUUAAUAAAUGGUGCUGACUCAAGUGAUUGUUCUGGGGGAAAAAGCUUGCAAAAAUGUGAUACACAAAUGAUAGAUUUGGAAAAUCAUGUGAAAUGGAGAGGACAAGGCUUAAUAACAAUUUCCAUUUUACACAGAAGGAUAAAAGUUAAGCACUUGAACAAUGAGCAGUGAAUUCAAACAGUUCAUUCAGAGCAAAUCCACAUGCCCAGUAAACAUAGUCCAAGUUAAGAAAAUAUCAAACUGCCAGUGAAACUGGCAGAAUUGGAAAAUCAGCGCAACCUACGGCUGGCUGGGCUGUGGAGAGAAGGAUACCCUGAGACGUGGCUGGAAAGGUGCAUUAUGGCAGCCUCUAGGGGAAAGACAUGGCCAUGGCUGUGUACUUUUAACAUUCUUUGAAUUGGAAAUCUCACUCUGUGGAGUCUAUUCCACAGAAACAAAUCCUAUAGUAUAGAAAGGAUAGUUAUUAUUAAUAUGACCAAACUUUGUCCAUUGAUGGUGGAAUGAUAGAGAACUUAUGGUAAAGCUACAUCCUCAAUAAAACAGGGAGUCAUUAGAAUGAAAAAGAGUUGUAGUAGUUGAGUGGGAGAAAUCUCUAUGAAGUAUUAUGGAAGUAUUACUGAAACAAUCAAGGUGCAGAGAAGUGUAUAUAAAAUGAGCACAUCUGGGUUAAACAAUAUCAAUUGUUUGAAUAUGCUUGAAUACCUGUUGAUGUUUAUGUGUGUGUAUAAAUGAGAAGAUGAGGAUACAUGUAUGUCUGUGUGUGCUUGUUUAAGCAAGGAUAGGAGAGACUACUUACUACAUUGUUAACCUGAAUUACCUUGGAUUCACUUGUGGGAAGGAACAGGGGGAGGAGAAUUAGAACAUGCAGGAAGAGUGGACUUAAAAAGCAUGGAUGAUAAUGCUUCUGUAUUAGUAGUGUUAUGUGUGGACAAAUAAAUCUAUCUUGAGCAGAGAAAGCCAGAAUAUUCCUUAGAAGUAAGGAUGGCUUUGGACAUCUUAUCAAGAGGGACCAGUCCCUGGAAAAGGACAUCAUGCUUAGUAAAGCAGAGGUCCAGGGAAAAAGAGGAAGACCCUCAAUGAGAUUGAUACAGUGGCUGCAACAGUGUGCUCGAAUAUAGCAACGAUUAUUAGGAUUGCAAUGACUGGACCGAGUUUUGUUCUGUGGUGCCUAGGGUCACUGUGACUCAGAACUGACUUGAUAGCUUUUAACAACAACAUGUAUAAGUCCAGAUAAAGUGUACUGAGUUGAUACCAUCUAUUUAAAUUAUUCAUGUAAGUUAAAGACCCCAAAAUAUAGUGUUAGUGCCAUAUCUAAUGACUUACAGAGAAUCAAGGUAGAAUGUCAAGUGAAAGAAGGGGCGAGAACAAUGUGGGUAGAGUGAGACGAAGUCUCCAUAAAAGCAAACACUCCAGCAGAUGUACUUGUGUACCUAUAACUGUGUAUAUGUUUCCCUGCAGAGAAAUGUAGGGAAAGACACACAUGUGUCUAUUAACAUUGGAUACCUUGUGGGAGUGGGAGCAAAUUACAUAUGAGGGUGGGACCCUGACAUAACUUUUUUGUCAUACAAAUCUGUAAUCUUGAAAAUGUAAUAAAAAACAAUUUCAGAACUUUGGAAGUUGAUAAACAUCAUAGAUACAUGUAUAUUUUAAUGUGUUUCAUUAGAUAUUUUAAAUAGGUGAAAAUUUUCUAUAAUGACAGACAAAAGAUUUUAAUCACUGGAAGGAGAGCACACCACAGACGGUAAUAAUCAGAUCCAGUGCAUUUCUUCUUGUUCUUGGAACCAGUGAGCUCUUCUGGUCUCUAUAACUGGAAAUGACCAAAAAUAAUUUUGGGAACUCAGUAGAAUUAACCCCCAAACACGUUUGCAAGCACAUGUCUACAGCUAAAUGUAGAAGGCUGGACACCAUGUGCGAUUCACUAGGUAACUCAUGGCGCUCCAGAAAAUUCUCUUUCCUGGAUGUGCUGGUACCACCUCCUCCCUGCCUUGACCCACUGUAUAACCCGCCUUUGUGCAUUCGAGGCCCUUUUCAGGUCUGAGCCUAGAGCAUAAAAGAGGACAUCAACUGGGAAGGUAGCUUUUAAGAAGAAAGACGUUGAUCAAAAGAUUUCAGAAAGCAGCACCUCCCCAGCCAGCCUCUCCCCAGCCUGGGAAUGCCAACCCCUCCCACCCUGAUACCUCUGAGAAUCUCUGAUUUUUCGGUUUGGAUCCUUAGGAGACUGCAGAAUUUACCUGGCCUGAACACCUUGGCUCUUCUCUGCCUGUGACCCUCUCCCUCACAGGAGCUGUCUCUGUCACUCUGAGGCAUACACACAGGACAGACUGUGGACGGAGGUGUCCAUCCUAGAGACCCUGCCCUCCUUUCCUCUGCCCUCUGCGGUCUCAUUGCCCAGAGAGAUGGAUACAUCCCUGUCAUGUCCAGGGUUUCCCCACACCUGGGAUUUGAUGUUGUGACUGAGACUUGGUCUUUUUUGUCCACUGUUGAGUCUGGGCCUGAAUUUGCCUCUUCCCAUCCAUACCUCUGGUCACCUGUGUUCUCGCUGUUCUCCCCAGGUUCAGAAGCCUCUCCUCUCUUUUGCUUCUUUGAUCUCAGAUGGCCUUUUUCUUCCAGUUCUUUGACCUCGGGACAGGUAAGAUUUGACCACAGGGGGGGAAAAAAAAUUAACAAGAUUUAUUGACGUGUCAAGAACCGGAAUGUACAGCUUUAUUUAAAGGAGAAGAAAAAGUUCCAAAGCUCUGCCCCUUACCCGAGGACAUACUCUACAAGAAAUACCCUGCAAGCGCUGGAUCAACUCUUAUCCAGAAAUGGUUAACACCCAGGGGGAUUUUUCUACACCACCUCCCAGUUACAUUCCCCUAAUGAGGCAACAACAAUGCAUCCUAAUCAUAACCCCAAAUUCACCCUAGGAGACCAGAAGACAUGGCUGGGGUGAAUUCAUUUUCCUUCACUGGGCCCUCCUCUCCUUCUGCCAAGCCCUACCUCUUUCUCUGCCUGUAUGCUGCUGGGAAGGGACCCAGAGUCCUUCGUUUAGGGCUUUAUGCCCACUGCUCACCUGCAGGCAGGUUUCCUGACACCCUGCCAUCUCUCUGAUUCCUUCUCCAAAGAACUCAGUGAUACCCCCUUCACCAUCACACCUCAACAGGGUCCCCCUUAGCCUCCCAAGUCCCACUGAAAUCCCAUUCCCCUUUCCCUACUUACGCUGUGCUCAUCCUUAGGGUCCCAAGACCUCACCAUCAAGAUGAGGCCUGUCCUGUCCUCUCCUGGGCCAGGGGAGCCUCUGAGGGGACCUGGUGUCUGUGUUCAGCUAUCUGGGGCUUCUUCCAUCCAGAUCCCGCUUAGGGCUGGAGCUCUUUGUGCCCUUGGGGUUGAAGGCUGGUGGGCACACGGGAAGGAGGCUAGGAUCUUCCAGGGAAGCUGGGUUAAACGACCCUGAAUGGAGGUCUCUCCUGAAGGGCCCACGUUUCCAGCCCAAAGGCCCUGCUCCUCCUAGUCCCAGGGUACUAGCAGGUCUUUAGGUGCUUCCCCCUCUGGCCUUGGUGCUGUGCCUUCUGCAGCCUGGCCUGCCUCUGCAGCCUGUCCAGCUGGUGCCUCAGCCUCUUCAGUUCUUCUCUCUGCUUCUCCAGCUGCUCCUACAGGUGCCUGCAGACUGCUCUCUUCUCCCUCACCUCCCUCUUCUUGUAGGCCAUCAGGUAACGCCUGGCCAGCUGGUGGCAGCGUUGGCGCCUGCACUGGACUGAGCGUGGCAGCCACCUCUCCAGCAGCUCUUCAAAGAAGACCCGGUAGCUAAAGCCCUGAGUCACACCACGCGCCGCGUGCGCAACCAGGGCCUCCCGGGACUCGAACACGGGGCAGCGGACCACGCAGCGGAAGCCGUGCUCACGGUUCACCAGCCACUCCGGGGUGGUUGCGCGGGGUUCUCCCCAUGCUCCUCCCCUUGGUCGGUGGUGUCCGGAGUACAGGUCUGGGUCCCGUCCUGCCAGGGCUCCAGGGUACUGACCAGGGACUGAGUAUUGGCCAGUGUAGGGGCAGAGCUGAUCGUGCUCUCCUCAGAGAGCUUGGCCUCAAAGACCUGGGGCAUCUUGCCCACGGGGCAAAGGAGGUUUUGGUCUGCCAGGCGACCGCCACCCCCUUGACUGUGUGCACCUUGGUGAAAUAUGCGCACAUGACCCAUCGCUUUCCUGGGGCAGCCCCCUAGCUGGAGGAGUGAGAGGUUUGCUUGGUGGAAAAUGAAGGAAAAGAGCUCUCUGAUGGUUUUUGGAAUCUUCCUGGGCCUGGAACUUGGGCUUUUUGCUUGGGGUAUUGUUGACUCCUGGGCAUUUUCCUCUUGGAUAGAGACCUCUGAGAAUAGAGAGUAGAUUUAGUAGAGCUUUCAGGGUCCUUAUGCUCACCUGUGACCCCAAAGCUUUGGUCAUAGGGACCGCUGGAGGCCUCUCCAUCACCACAUCCUCCACCUCUGCAGACCCCAUGCUUUCUUUCUUCUUCCCCAGAGACCCACCACCCUUUGGGGGCACUGCUGUGGAAGACAAAGUCUCCAUUGUAAAGUGGCACUGUUUAUGGUAGUUCAUUUUUUUUUUUUUUUAUAAUAACUUUUAUUAAGCUUCAAGUGAACGUUUACAAAUCCAAUCAGUCUGUCACAUAUAAGUUUACAUACAUCUCACUCCCUACUCCCACUUACUCUCCCCGUCUUGAGUCAGCCCUUUCAGUCUCUCCUUUCUUGACAAUUUUGCCGGCUUCCCUCUCUCUCUAUCCUCCCAUCCCCCCUCCAGACAAGAGUUGCCAACACAAUCUCAAGUGUCCACCUGAUAUAA